UUGAGACUUAAGACGAAGAAAAGUAGGGGCUUCACUCCCAAAUAAGAGAGGAUUUCGAUAGCUGAGAGAAAUCUAUGGUGAUAAGUACUUGAAAGACACUUCCGAGGUUUUGGCCGAAAGAACGAGUAGGCUAAGACGUAUUCCGGCGUUAACGGAAAAGUGGGAAUGUUUUCAUUCCAAUUAGGGUGGUACCACGGGUAAAUUAAUCUCUCGUCCCUUGU
rnacentral:ncRNA from 1 species